rnacentral:lncRNA from 1 species
GCUUAUUGUUCCCUGUAGCCCCAGGUCCUUUCCUGCAGAGCUGCCUGCCCAGCCAGUCAGGCCCCAGCCUGCAUGGCUCGUGGGCCUGUUCUGCCCUCAGAACCGUGAGAGGAACGGGCGCCAGGGGAGCAAAGGGCGAGAACCGGGGCAUGGCGCUGCUCCAAGGAGCUCCCUUCAGCAAAGGGGCUUGAGGCGCAGCCCGGGCGUGCCGGCCAGGAAGCACUAGCUGCGCCUUUAAAAGGCUGUAGCCCAGCCCAGCCACCCCCACCCGGAUCUGGCUGACGUGGGGAGGAGGCGCCUGCCGCGAACAAAAGUGCUGCCUUGUCGCAGCGCAGCAACAAGUGCGCGGGGCGCGGGCGCAGUGGAUUACAGCGGGGGCGGCCCCGCCGGGGCGCUGCUCCUUAAACCCCUCAGCUCGGCCAUGCGUGGGGCAUGACGGCGGCAGGAUGGGAGCGAACAAUGGCAAGCAGUGCGGCAGCGAGGGCAAAGGCAGCUCAAGCAUCUCAUCUGAUGUGAGUUCAAGUACAGAUCACACACCGACCAAAGCCCAAAAGAAUGUGGCUACCAGUGAAGAUGGACUGUCUGACAGCUCUUUGGAAAAGGAAGAAUUCCAUGGAUUGCACAUCUCAAACAGGUGUCAGUGAAAGUGUUGCCUGUGGAAUGUGAACUGAAUCUCCAAG